rnacentral:rRNA from 1 species
AGUGAACGCUGGCGGUAGGCCUAACACAUGCAAGUCGAACGGCAGCACAGUAAGAGCUUGCUCUUACGGGUGGCGAGUGGCGGACGGGUGAGGAAUACAUCGGAAUCUACUUUUUCGUGGGGGAUAACGUAGGGACACUUACGCUACUACCGCAUACGACCUACGGGUGAAAGCAGGGGAUCUUCGGACCUUUCGCGAUUGAAUGAGCCGAUGUCGGAUUAGCUAGUUGGCGGGGUAAAGGCCCACCAAGGCGACGAUCCGUAGCUGGUCUGAGAGGAUGAUCGGCCACACUGGAACUGAGACACGGUCCAGACUCCUACGGGAGGCAGCAGUGGGGAAUAUUGGACAAUGGGCGCAAGCCUGAUCCAGACAUACCGCGUGAGUGAAGAAGGCCUUCGGGUUGUAAAGCCCUUUUGUUGGGAAAGAAAAGCAGCAGGUUAAUACCCGGAUGUUCUGACGGUACCCAAAGAAUAAGCACCGGCUAACUUCGUG